rnacentral:rRNA from 1 species
CCCUUAGAUGUUCUGGGCCGCACGCGCGCUACACUGAUGAAUUCAACGAGCAUAUAACCUUGACCGAAAGGCCCGGGGAAACUCCGAAAUUUCAUCGUGAUGGGGAUAGACUAUUGUAAUUAUUAGUCUUCAACGAGGAAUUCCUAGUAAGCGCGAUUCAUCAGAUCGCGUUGAUUACGUCCCUGCCCUUUGUACACACCGCCCGUCGCUACUACCGAUUGAACGGUUUAGUGAGGGCCUCGGAUUGGUCUCGGCCCGCUCUUUACCGGGCGGCGCCGUUGGUCGAGAAGACGCUCGAACUUGAUCGUUUAGAGGAAGUAAAAGUCGUAACA